rfam:Schistosoma mansoni strain Puerto Rico chromosome 7, complete genome
AUCCAGUUGACGAGUCCCAAAUAGGACGAAAUGCGCGUCCUGGAU